GACGAACGCUGGCGGCGUGCCUAAUACAUGCAAGUAGAACGCUGAAGGAGGAGCUUGCUUCUCUGGAUGAGUUGCGAACGGGUGAGUAACGCGUAGGUAACCUGCCUGGUAGCGGGGGAUAACUAUUGGAAACGAUAGCUAAUACCGCAUAAGAGUGGAUGUUGCAUGACAUUUGCUUAAAAGGUGCACUUGCAUCACUACCAGAUGGACCUGCGUUGUAUUAGCUAGUUGGUGGGGUAACGGCUCACCAAGGCGACGAUACAUAGCCGACCUGAGAGGGUGAUCGGCCACACUGGGACUGAGACACGGCCCAGACUCCUACGGGAGGCAGCAGUAGGGAAUCUUCGGCAAUGGACGGAAGUCUGACCGAGCAACGCCGCGUGAGUGAAGAAGGUUUUCGGUUCGUAAAGCUCUGUUGUAAGAGAAGAACGAGUGUGAGAGUGGAAAGUUCACAC
rnacentral:rRNA from 1 species